GGAAGCAGAUAUUUAAAAAUAAAAUAAAAUAAAAUAAAACAAAAAGGAAAGAGGCAAUGCCUUUUAACGAGGAACAAUAAAAAAGCCAGUCUCUCUGGAGCCAUAAUUAGAGGGAAUUAAUUGAAGUUGUGUUUUGACACCGUUGCCGAAUGCGCUAGCGAUGCAUGACG
rnacentral:ncRNA from 1 species